rnacentral:misc_RNA from 1 species
GAUGAAGAACGUAGCGAAAUGCGAUAAGUAAUGUGAAUUGCAGAAUUCAGUGAAUCAUCGAAUCUUUGAACGCACCUUGCGCUCCUUGGUAUUCCGAGGAGCAUGCCUGUUUGAGUGUCAUUAAAUUCUCAACCUCACCCGUUUUUUGAACGGUUCUCCGAGGCUUGGAUGUGGGGGUUUGUGCAGGCUGCCUCAGCGCGGUCUGCUCCCCUGAAAUGCAUUAGCGAGUUCGUACUGAGCUCCGUCUAUUGGUGUGAUAAUUAUCUACGCCGUGGACAGGGUUUAGACUCGCUUCUAACCGUCCGCAAGGACAAUACCUUUGACAAUUUGACCUCAAAUCAGGUAGGACUACCCGCUGAACUUAAGCAUAUCAAUAAGCGGAGGA